UCCGCACAAGGAAAAAAAUUAAAACAAUCGAAGUGGAUCCCUUGUUCGCAGCUGUAAUGCCUGAAGAAACCAGAGGACGUGGUCUUCUCGAUGAGGAUUUUUUCCAGGAUGAAGUUCCAACAUGGAAAUUUGAUGGGACAGAAGGCGGGAUUCAGAUUGAUCUGAUAAGAAGCGGCGGUCAAGGUUUUCCGGACGACAUGUUCAGAAAUCUAACCACAAAAAAGUUAAAAGAAAGUUAAAAGGAGAGAGUUUC